rnacentral:rRNA from 1 species
UGGCUCAGAACGAACGCUGGCGGCGCGUUUAAGCAUGCAAGUCGAGCGGCAAGGGCCUUCGGGCCCCUAGAGCGGCGGACGGGUGAGUAACACGUGGACAAUCUGCCCCCCGGCCCGGGAUAGCCCAGGGAAACCUGGAUUAAUACCGGAUGAGACGGGACCCGCGAUGGCGGGACCCGGGAAAGGCGCUGCGGCGCCGCCGGGGGAUGAGUCUGCGUCCCAUUAGCUAGACGGCGGGGUAACGGCCCACCGUGGCGACGAUGGGUAGCCGGCCUGAGAGGGUGGACGGCCACAUUGGAACUGAGACACGGUCCAGACUCCUACGGGAGGCAGCAGCUAAGAAUCUUCCGCAAUGGGCGAAAGCCUGACGGAGCCGACGCCGCGUGAACGAAGAAGGCCGUGAGGUUGUAAAGUUCUUUUCGGGAGGGGGAACAACCGUGGCAGGGAAUGGCCGCGGGAUGACGUGAAUCCCGGAAUAAGCCCCGGCUAACUACGUGCCAGCCGCUGC